rnacentral:tRNA from 1 species
GCCGGGGUAGCCAAGCCAGGUAAGGCGCCAGACUCGAGAUCUGGUUCUCCUUCGGAGAGCGGGGGUUCAAAUCCCCUCCCCGGCG